rnacentral:piRNA from 1 species
GGGAAGCCAGAAACCUUCGUCAACA